GCUUACGGCCAUACCACCCUGCUCUCGCCCGAUCUCGUGUGAUCUCAGAAGCUAAGCAGGGUCGGGCCUGUUUAGUACUUGGAAUGGAGACCGCCUGGGAAUACCAGGUGCUGUAAGCU
rnacentral:rRNA from 1 species